CGGAGGAAAAGAAACCAACAGGGAUUGCCUCAGUAACGGCGAGUGAAGCGGCAACAGCUCAAAUUUGAAAUCUGGCCUUCUGGCCCGAGUUGUAAUUUGCAGAGGAUGUUUCUGGCGAGGUGCCUUCCGAGUUCCGGAACGGGACGCCAUAGAGGGUGAGAGCCCCGUACGGUUGGUCGCUGAGCCUCUGUGAAACUCCUUCGACGAGUCGAGUAGUUUGGGAAUGCUGCUCUAAAUGGGAGGUAUACGUCUUCUAAAGCUAAAUACCGGCUAGAGACCGAUAGCGCACAAGUAGAGUGAUCGAAAGAUGAAAAGCACUUUGAAAAGAGGGUUAAAUAGUACGUGAAAUUGUUGAAAGGGAAGCGCUCAUGACCAGACUUGGGCCGGUUGAUCAUCCGUCGUUCUCGGCACUCUGCCGGCUCAGGCCAGCAUCAGCUUGGCCCGGGGGACAAAGGUUUCGGGAAUGUGGCUCCCCUCGGGGAGUGUUAUAGCCCGUUGCGUAAUACCCUGGGCUGGGCUGAGGUACGCGCUCCGCAAGGAUGCUGGCGUAAUGGUCAUCAGUGACCCGUCUUGAAACACGGACCAAGGAGUCGUCUUCGUAUGCGAGUGUUGUGUCAAACCCCUACGCGUAAUGAAAGUGAACGUAGGAGAGAGCUUCGGCGCAUCUCCGACCGAUCCAUGUUCUCGGAUGGAUUUGAGUAAGAGCAUACGGGGCCGGACCCGAAAGAAGGUGAACUAUGCCUGUAUAGGGUGAAGCCAGAGGAAACUCUGGUGGAGGCUCGCAGCGGUUCUGACGUGCAAAUCGAUCGUCAUAUGGGCAUGGGGGGCGAA
rnacentral:rRNA from 1 species